rnacentral:tRNA from 1 species
CGCGCGUGGCCUAACGGUUAUCGCGCUUGCCUCCCACGCAGAAGGCCACGGUUCGAUUCCUUGCCGCGA